UACGUCUAAGGAUGGCAGCAGGCGCGCAAAUUACCCACUCUCAGAACGAGGAGGUAGUGACGAGAAAUAACGAGACAGUUCUCUUACGAGGCCUGUCAUCGGAAUGGGUACAAUCUAAACCCUUUAACGAGUAUCUAUGAGAGGGCAAGUCUGGUGCCAGCAGCCGCGGUAAUUCCAGCUCUCAAAAUGCAUAGAAUUAUUGCUGCGGUUAAAAAGCUCGUAGUUGGAUCUGUGCUGGCGUCCCGGUCCGCCCUCGCGGGCGUGCACUGGAUUCGCCGGUUUUCCGCUCAACUCCUG
rnacentral:rRNA from 1 species